ACUCCUACGGGAGGCAGCAGUGGGGAAUAUUGCGCAAUGGACGAAAGUCUGACGCAGCGACGCCGCGUGAGUGAUGAAGGCCUUAGGGUCGUAAAGCUCUGUUGAAUGGGAAGAAAAAUGACGGUACCAUUCGAGGAAGGACCGGCUAACUUCGUGCCAGCAGCCGCGGUAAUACGAGGGGUCCUAGCGUUGUUCGGAAUCAUUGGGCGUAAAGGGUGUGUAGGUGGCUAUGUAAGUCAGGUGUGAAAGCCCCGGGCUCAACCCGGGAAGUGCAUCUGAUACUGCGUAGCUUGAGUACCGAAGAGGAUAGUGGAAUUCCAGGUGUAGUGGUGAAAUACGUAGAUAUCUGGAGGAACACCGGUGGCGAAGGCGGCUAUCUGGUCGAGUACUGACACUGAGACACGAAAGCAUGGGGAUCAAACAGGAUUAGAUACCCUGGUAGGAUAGCGU
rnacentral:rRNA from 1 species